rnacentral:rRNA from 1 species
AGAGAGAGACAUGCGCGCAUAUCAAUAAGCGGAGGAAAAGAAACUAACAAGGAUUCCCUUAGUAACGGCGAGUGAAGCGGGAAGAGCUCAAAUUUGAAAUCUUCAAGGUUCUACCUUGACGAAUUGUAGUUUAUAGAAGUGUUUUCUGUUAGUGGAGUGGCAAAAGUUCUUUGGAAUAGGACAUCAUAGAGGGUGAGAAUCCCGUAUUUGGUCAUUCCUCCUAGCGUUGUGAUACACUUUCAACGAGUCGGAUUGUUUGGGAAUGUAGUCCAAAAUGGGUGGUAAAUUUCAUCUAAAGCUAAAUAUUGGCGAGAGACCGAUAGCGAACAAGUACCGUGAGGGAAAGAUGAAAAGAACUUUGAAAAGAGAGUUAAACAGUACGUGAAAUUGUCAAAAGGGAAGCGUUUGACACCAGUGUUGUUUUUCCGAAAAUCAAUUACGAAUGUUUUAUUUUUGAGGAGUUAUGACUUCAUCGGCUUGCUCCUUUCUUUACGAAACUUUCUUAAUGCACUUUUCGGUUAACAAGUCAACAUCAAUUUCUUUUGUUGUAAAAGGGUAUGAGGAAGGUGGCUUUCUUUUCGGAGAAAGUGUUUAUAGCCUUGUGCCUCUGCAAUCGGAGAGAUUGAGGUCUGCAGCGUAGAUCCUUCGGGGUUAGAUACGUUUGUGCUAAGUUAUAGCUUUUCAUAGACAACUUGUUGACUAUGUUUAGUCUUGUAGCUUACUCGCUGACGCUAUUUUACCUACGCUUAGGAUGUUGAUAGUCACAGCGUGUAC